ACCUGGGUUCAAUCCCAAAUCUUCCACUUCGUCAUAUAUACGUGCACUAAGUAGUACAGAGUCAAGUAGAGAGAGAGAGAGAGAGAGAGAGAGAGAGAGAGAGAGAGAGAGUGCGCGGGCGCGCUAUAACCACAUAUAUAUACACCAUAAAUAAUCUUUUCCCCCAAGGAAAUGGAUAUUCACGUCAUUACGGUAAGAGCUGAUACACAGUUGGUUUCCCCAGAAGAAAAAUGAGGACAGCUAUGCAAAGUAAACAGAGGUGACAAACCACUUUUAACCACAGCAUAAGGAGCAUAAAGUGUUGCGGUGAGCCUGAGCUCCAACAGCGAUGAGACAGUCUACCUAGAGGAGAUUAAAAACCUGGAGAUAUGGUGCCAGUAGAAUAAUCUCCUCCUGAACGUCAGCAAAACAAAGGAGUUGAUAGUGGACUUCAGCAGGAGACCUUAAACAAUUAAAGGACUUUAAACUGCCUUCACAGAGGCUAAGGACCAUUGAGAGCAUCCUGAUGGAACCAUCACAGCCUUGUAUGGGAACAGAACCAAGCAGGACAGUGGAGCGCUCCACAAAUUGGUGCGAUCAGCUUUACGUACCAUCUGCAUUGAGCUCUCUGACCUGCACUCAAUUUAAAGCAAGCAGUGCUGGACCACGGCAGGAAUAUAGUAAAGGACCUCAGUCAUCCAAAUAAUGGACUCUUCUCUCACCAAAUGUGGUUAGGGCCUUAUUUUUUUUUUAGUUUUCCUGAGUUUAUCCUGUUUGCUGUUCACCUGACAUAUAAACAUUCUGCAAAUUU